AUUGAACGCUGGCGGCAGGCUUAACACAUGCAAGUCGAGCGGGGAAGGGUAGCUUGCUACCUAACCUAGCGGCGGACGGGUGAGUAAUGCUUAGGAAUCUGCCAUUUAGUGGGGGACAACAUUCCGAAAGGAAUGCUAAUACCGCAUACGUCCUACGGGAGAAAGCAGGGGAUCUUCGGACCUUGCGCUAAAUGAUGAGCCUAAGUCGGAUUAGCUAGUUGGUGGGGUAAAGGCCUACCAAGGCGACGAUCUGUAGCGGGUCUGAGAGGAUGAUCCGCCAAACUGGGACUGAGACACGGCCCAGACUCCUACGGGGGGCAGCAGUGGGGAAUAUUGGACAAUGGGCGGGAGCCUGAUCCAGCCAUGCCGCGUGUGUGAAGAAGGCCUUAUGGUUGUAAAGCACUUUAAGCGAGGAGGAGGCUACCUAGAUUAAUACUCUAGGAUAGUGGACGUUACUCGCAGAAUAAGCACCGGCUAACUCUGUGCCAGCAGCCGCCGCCGUAA
rnacentral:rRNA from 1 species